AACGUAGGAGCCAAGCGUUAUCCGAAUUCACUGGGCGUAAAGCGCGUGCAGGCGGUCUGAUAAGUUGGAUGUGAAAUCUCCCGGCUCAACUGGGAGAGGCCGUACAAUACUGUUGGACUAGAGGGCGACAGAGGAAGGUGGAAUUCCCGGUGUAGUGGUGAAAUGCGUAGAUAUCGGGAGGAACACCAGUGGCGAAGGCGACCUUCUGGGUCGCACCUGACGCUAAGACGCGAAAGCUAGGGUAGCAAACGGG
rnacentral:rRNA from 1 species